GGCGACCUGCCCAAGGUGUAUCCUGCCGUUUGCCCAAUGACCACUGGACAUGGACACUAGCGCCCCCGCAAUCCUGCAAGGAUAAGCCGGCCUAAACCACCAAGACAAGACUACAGUUAACCACUGAUGUGUGCUGCCUUAACUACCACCAAGAUGUUAGCAGCAGAUCCCUGAAACCCUGUUUUGUCGUUGUUCCAAAAAUUCUCUUCAAACUUCAAACUCACAAACAGCUGUUCUGUCGAAUCUGCUGAUGAGGCAGAGUGAUACAGCAUCUGGCAUUCUCRGUACAUAUGUAUUUUCUGGAGAGCUGUCUAUUAUGAAAUCUGUCCUCUUCAGAUAAGGAGCCAAUACUCACCCAGGAGACAUUCUUUGCUUUCAGCAAUUUGGACAUGGCCCGCAGGUGGAAAGGCAGAGAACCCGACUCCCGACAGACUCAGUCACAUGCAAAGACGCCCAGACUGCAUUUAGCAGCUGUGGCAACAUCCUCCAACCUCCACUGUCUGCCCCCUUUGCCAACAAACCUCCCCAGAUUUACAUCUGCCUGAAGCYUYGCCUGCCCAUCAGACCCAGUGAAACAUUCUGCAAGGAGGAGGAGGAAGAGGAGGAAGAGUGGGAGCCAAAGAGAAACAAAGAUGAGCUCCAGAAGUAGCUGUCAGAGGCAGAAAUAGAACUUGCAUAAAGUUCCCUCCGUCUUCUGCC